rnacentral:rRNA from 1 species
AAUACCGGAUGGUUGCUUGAACCGCAUGGUUCAAGCAUAAAAGGUGGCUUCGGCUACCACCCACAGAUGGACCCGCGGCGCAUUAGCUAGUUGGUGAGGUAACGGCUCACCAAGGCAACGAUGCGUAGCCGACCUGAGAGGAUGAUCGGCCACACUGGGACUGAGACACGGCCCAGACUCCUACGGGAGGCAGCAGUAGGGAAUCUUCCGCAAUGGACGAAAGUCUGACGGAGCAACGCCGCGUGAAGGAUGAAGGCUUUCGGAUCGUAAAGCUCUGUUGUUAGGGAAGAACAAGUGCCGUUCGAAUAGGGCGGCACCUUGACGGUAUCUAACCAGAAAGCCACGGCUAACUACGUGCCAGCAGCCGCGGUAAU